AUUGAACGCUGGCGGCAUGCUUUACACAUGCAAGUCGAACGGCAGCGCGGGCUUCGGCCUGGCGGCGAGUGGCGAACGGGUGAGUAAUACAUCGGAACGUGCCCAGUAGUGGGGGAUAGCUCGGCGAAAGCCGGAUUAAUACCGCAUACGACCUGAGGGUGAAAGCGGGGGAUCUUCGGACCUCGCGCUAUUGGAGCGGCCGAUGGCAGAUUAGCUAGUUGGUGGGGUAAAGGCCUACCAAGGCGACGAUCUGUAGCUGGUCUGAGAGGACGACCAGCCACACUGGGACUGAGACACGGCCCAGACUCCUACGGGAGGCAGCAGUGGGGAAUUUUGGACAAUGGGCGAAAGCCUGAUCCAGCAAUGCCGCGUGUGUGAUGAAGGCCUUCGGGUUGUAAAGCACCUUUAGCGGGAACGAAAAGGACUGUGCCAAUACCACGGUUCGAUGACGGUACCCGCAGAAUAAACACCGGCUAACUACGU
rnacentral:rRNA from 1 species